rnacentral:rRNA from 1 species
UACGGAGGGUGCGAGCGUUGUCCGGAAUCAUUGGGCGUAAAGGCGCGUAGGUGGCUUCUCAAGCGUGCGGUGAAAGCCUGGGGCUCAACCCCGGGUCGGCCGUGCGAACUGGGGGGCUUGAACACUGUAGAGGCAGGCGGAAUUCCGGGUGUAGCGGUGGAAUGCGUAGAGAUCCGGAAGAACACCGGUGGCGAAGGCGGCCUGCUGGGCAGUUUUGCUGACACUGAGGCGCGACAGCGUGGGGAGCAAACAGG